UUGUCUUUUAAAUAAAGACCAGUAUGAAUGGCAAGACGAAAGUUCAACUGUCUCCCUAAAUUAAUCAAUGAAAUUGAUCUUCCCGUGCAGAAGCGGGAAUAAAAUUAUAAGACGAGAAGACCCUAUGGAGCUUUAAAUAUGUGAUCAACUGUAAUAUAAUUCAAUAUUCAAUAUUAAACAUUAAAUAAAACAUUAUGAUCAAAAUUUUAGGUUGGGGCGACCACGGAGAAAAACAAAACCUCCGAGAUGAAAAGAAUAUCUUAAUUUAUGAACUACAGUUCUAAUAAAUAAAAUAUUUAACAUAAUUGAUCCAAUAUAUUGAUCAACGAACUAAGUUACCCUAGGGAUAACAGCGCAAUCCUUUCCAAGAGUCCCUAUCGACGAAUGGGUUUACGACCUCGAUGUUGGAUCAGGACACCCCAAUGGUGCAGCCGCUAUUAAAGGUUCGUUUGUUCAACGAUUAAAGU
rnacentral:rRNA from 1 species